rnacentral:rRNA from 1 species
CGGAGGGUGCAAGCGUUACUCGGAAUCACUGGGCGUAAAGGACGCGUAGGCGGAUUAUCAAGUCUCUUGUGAAAUCCUAUGGCUUAACCAUAGAACUGCUUGGGAAACUGGUAAUCUAGAGUGAGGGAGAGGCAGAUGGAAUUGGUGGUGUAGGGGUAAAAUCCGUAGAGAUCACCAGGAAUACCCAUUGCGAAGGCGAUCUGCUGGAACUCAACUGACGCUAAUGCGUGAAAGCGUGGGAGCAAACAGGAUU